AUGGCGAUGACCAGCCGGUGUAGGAUAUGCGGCAAUGAGGAUUCAUGGCGUCACUCGUUGAUGGAAUGUACCAUGUCAAGAUGUGUGUGGGCGCUAGAGGAAGAGCAUUUGCUAUCGGCUUUAAGUGAGGUAACAGAACCUAAUGCACGUAGAUGGAUCUUCACUAUAAUGGAGAAACUAUCAUCGUCGGAUUUCACCAGAGCUCUAGUCACUCUAUGGGCUAUUUGGCACGCUCGACGGAAGGCAAUCCACAACCAGGUGCGAGCUCCAACAGUGAACCAGCGCUGGACUCCUCCACCACCAGGUUACUACAAGAUCAAAGUGGACUAGGCUACAACCAAAUCAGCAAGGCGAGGAUCAGUUGGUGUCAUCUGUCAAGCUUUUGAUGGCUCGUUCAUGGGAGCUUCAGCCAUAUGUUUUGAGGGUGUCUCCGACCCGGCGUCUCUUGAAGCCCUAGCUUGCAGGGAGGCUUUGGCUUUGGCGACCGAUCUCAUGCAAACACAAGUGGUGGUCGCAUGGGAUUGCAAGGAAGUGGUCUCCAAUAUUUCUGAAGGCAAUGGAGGAACACAUGCACAUAUCAUCCGGGAGAUCAAGCAAAUGGAGUUUGAAUUUCAAUCUCGUUCUUUUAUUUUUGAACGUUGA
rnacentral:rRNA from 1 species